UACGUAGGUGGCAAGCGUUGUCCGGAUUUAUUGGGUUUAAAGGGUGCGUAGGUGGUCUAUUAAGUCAGUGCUGAAAUAUCCCGGCUUAACCGGGAGGGUGGCAUUGAUACUGAUGGACUUGAGUAAAGUUGAGGUGGGCGGAAUUGACGGUGUAGCGGUGAAAUGCUUAGAUAUCGUCAAGAACAUCUAUUGCGAAGGCAGCUCACUAAGCUUUAACUGACACUGAGGCACGAAAGUGUGGGGAUCAAACAGG
rnacentral:rRNA from 1 species